rnacentral:ncRNA from 1 species
GUGCGUCUUCAGGGCGGGGUGAAAUUCCCCACCGGCGGUAUGCCGGCAACGCGAGAGCGUGAGCCGGUGAGCCCGCGAGCGCCCGCGUCGUCAAGGUGUUUGGACCUGUGCAACUGCGUUGCACGGGACCCGAGUCAGUGCUUUGCAUGGGACCGGAGUAAUGCGCCAAAGCGCGAACUCCGGCCAACGGCUAAAGCGCCAACUCUGGUCGACAUGGGGUCAGCAGAUCUGGUGAGAAGCCAGAGCCGACGGUUAGAGUCCGGAUGGAAGAAGAUGUGC